rnacentral:rRNA from 1 species
AUGACGAAUCCACUAUUCAACACACAGCCCAACUCGACAGGCACGAGCCAUGUCGACAGUCGGGGCGGCACUCGGGGGCAUGCUCGCCUCGACAGUCAUCAAGGUGGCGAGAUCAAUUCUGUCAUUUCAGGCAAGAUCAAGCUGCACAGGAAACUGAGGAACGAUCUGGAGAACAUGAAGAUGAUGCUAGAGUCGGUGGAGGCUGUGCUCGGCGACGCUGAGAGGGAGUCUAUCAAGCAUAAGUCCAUGUUUCUGUGGCUAAAUCGGCUUAAGGAUGCGCAAACGACAUAUCUGACAUGCUUGAAGAUUUUGAAGAUGAAACCAACCUCAACCUGUGAAGUAGAUCUGAACCUCACUGUUGAAGUUGAUCUUUGA